rnacentral:rRNA from 1 species
GAUGAACGCUGGCGGCGUGCCUAAUACAUGCAAGUCGAGCGAACAGACGGGGAGCUUGCUCCUCUGACGUUAGCGGCGGACGGGUGAGUAACACGUGGAUAACCUACCUAUAAGACUGGGAUAACUUCGGGAAACCGGAGCUAGUACCGGAUAAUAUAUUGAACCGCAUGGUUCAAUAGUGAAAGACGGUUUUGCUGUCACUUAUAGAUGGAUCCGCGCCGCAUUAGCUAGUUGGUAAGGUAACGGCUUACCAAGGCGACGAUGCGUAGCCGACCUGAGAGGGUGAUCGGCCACACUGGAACUGAGACACGGUCCAGACUCCUACGGGAGGCAGCAGUAGGGAAUCUUCCGCAAUGGGCGAAAGCCUGACGGAGCAACGCCGCGUGAGUGAUGAAGGUCUUCGGAUCGUAAAACUCUGUUAUUAGGGAAGAACAAAUGUGUAAGUAACUAUGCACGUCUUGACGGUACCUAAUCAGAAAGCCACGGCUAACUACGUG